AAUAAUAGACGAAAGACCCUCAUUCUUAUAUGAAAGAAUAUAAUGAAAAAAAGGCCUGCUUAUGGUCGGAUGGGCCGCCCUGCCCUAAAAGUGGUCAUCAGUCUUUUGAAGAAGCCAUCCUCCGUCAAGCAAAAGCGACUACUGCUCCCUGGCUACAAUUUCGCGCCGACCCGUUUAUGUUUCAUCAAGCCAAUAUGAACCCAUUUAAAUAUAAAAACAAAAACCAGUCGCUGGUUAGUUUGUGGGCUGAUGAAAGUUUGAACUUGUUAUUACAAUACAUAAACAAACUUCCUAUUGUUUCUAUUAAAAUGGAUGACCUCGGAAACUUUUUUAGAGCAAGAAUGAGAAGAGACAACUGCGAUAUUGAAGCCUUUGCUAAAUUUUCCAACAACGAAAUUCAAAGUGUUCGUAUAAAAGG